GGGGAUGUACCGGUUUCGACGGGGGAAGCGGUGACGGAAGAAGCGAGCCGGGUUGGCGCCAGCCCGUUAAAAAGGCGCAAAUGCUUAAUUGCGAACAAUAACUACGCUUUCGCCGCGUAAUUGCGGCUGACUCCCUUUCCUCUGCGCCCGCGGUGAGGGAUAGGGAGACGAUUAGCGGGCUACUCCAGGCUGAGCUUUCCGUAGGUUUGGGGAAAAUUAACGGAAAUAGCGAACCCACAUCCUGUUUAUGGGAGGCGGGGAAGCAAACUUAAAUCAUAAACUACGCUCGUAGAAGCUUCCGGGGCUGCUCUUUCGGACAGGGGUUCGACUCCCCUCAUCUCCACCA
rnacentral:tmRNA from 1 species